rnacentral:sRNA from 1 species
GGAGGGACCGCUGAUGGUGGUUUGCCUUCUCCCCGGCAGAUCUGUAUCUUCGUCGGGGAGACGCUGCUGUUUUCUAACUGGGCCAUCACUGCAGACAUCCUCAUGUACGUGGUCAUCCCCACGCGGCGCGCCACUGCCGUGGCCUUGCAGAGCUUCACCUCCCACCUGCUGGGGGACGCCGGGAGCCCCUACCUCAUUGGCUUUGUGAGUAGCCCCGGGGUGGGGCUGGCCGGGGGAGGCUGGGGGUCUUCAGGAGGGCUCUGCCCUGACCUCCACCCCCAAAUCCUCGCAGAUCUCAGACCUGAUCCGCCAGAGCACCAAGGACUCCCCGCUCUGGGAGUUCCUGAGCCUGGGCUACGCGCUCAUGCUCUGCCCUUUCGUUGUGGUCCUGGGCGGCAUGUUCUUCCUCGCCACUGCGCUCUUCUUCGUCAGCGACCGCGCCAGGGCUGAGCAGCAGUGAGUGGGGGGGGAGGGGAGGCCCCGCUGCGCAGCCGGGAAGUGGGGACCGUGAUAGCCACUGUGAGCCCUGCCCUGGGGCGGGGGGGGGGGGGUGCGGGGAGGGUACAGACCUCCCAUGCACCCAGUGGGUGACCUGGUUGCUGGGGUCCAGCCCUGAGGCCCAGUGCCAGGGUCAGCCUGGAGCUGUGGGAGGCCACGGGGGUGUCUGGUGGAUUCAGACUUGGGUUUGUCUCUGGACUCAGUGGUUUUCAAAGCUGGGACCCCUCCCCUUCCUCUUACUUUCUGACUUCUUUCUCCUUUCCUCUUUACUCCU